rnacentral:lncRNA from 1 species
CCCAGCAACGCCUUCCAUAAGGCUGAGUGUGUCUCAGCUGCUUCUAAUGUGAUCACUCAGGUGAAUGACUCCCUUCAUUUCUACCACCUGGUUUCUUAAAGGGGCUUCCAAACACGGUAACCAUCUCACAAAUCAAAACGUGGGCAGAGCAGGCUUCCCCAUGGUGACCCUCCUUGCUUAAUUAAACCACAUCUAACAAGUGACACGGACAGGCCGUGAGCGCUGUUUCCUGCAACAUGGUGCCAGGAAAUCCUGUAGACGGAGCGAGCUCCCCCCAAGCAGAUUCACUUCUCAGUCUCCUCGGCUGGAUCCUGACGGCUGUCACAGGCACAAUGCCCGUGAGUGAUGCUAUUCAAGGGCACCGUGAUCAUCAAGAGGGAAGGUGGCAAUGAGUUCAAAAUCUUCCAAAGAUUGCUUCAAUUCAUCUUUCAGCAUUGCUGUGAGAAGAAAAGAGGAAUUCCGGCAGGUUAGAUUAACAUACCCUCCUUGAUGAAAAUGCCUCAUCAAAAGUGCGACCUUCUGCUCAGUGGUCAAGCUGGGGGAGACUCCACUCACCCAUUCAAGACUAUAUCUGUUAGGAGAAUGCCAUCCAGCUGCCAUAACAGGCAUUUCAGUGUCUUAACCCAAUGUCUCAAACCAUUCCUUGCUACUCAUGUCACAGUCUGAUGUGGACGAGGCAGCCACCACGGACACAUCCUCUCCACGCGGUGACUCAGGGCUCCAGGGUUUCUCCCACGUGCGGCUCCACCAGAGCAGCCACAGAGGCCUGCUGACCCUUCGCAUUGCGCUGGCGAUGAGCACAGACUGAGGUUGUGAAGGACAGCACAGGAGGUUUUCAGGCAGGGCCGGGGAGGGGCACAAACAGUGCUGCGGUCGCUUCGGGCCAGAGCGCCCUCACACGGCCACAGCUCAGCAAGAGCGGCUCAGAGAUGGGGCAGACGCGUGAACACCGGGGAGUCUCUGAGCCUGAGCAGCACGUCUACCCUCUCGUCUCCAUCUGUGCUGCCGGCUCCACCCACCUUCUUCAGGAAGACUAUCGAAGGAGAAAGUAAAAUAAAAAAUCCCUCGUGCCAACCAACACGGCACCUCAAAGCGCUAUGAGAAAAGAAAAUGCUGUCCACUUACUUCCAAAGAAAACCUACCACCACCCGGAAUCACUUUCUUCCCUCCCUUUCUCCUUCUUAAAAAGAAAACGAACCCCUUGUCAUGCCAGCCAAGAUGGACUGGGGCCACUACAAGCCGACCCUCGCACCGUGAGAACCCAAAGCUCUGGGCAGAACACAAAAAGCUGGUGUCUGAGGACUCUGACAAGUCGGCACCAGCAGGCAGAUGGGGAAGGGAAGUCAGACGUAAGGCGUGCCCAGGAAGGUGGGGGGCUGGUCGGUUUUUUCUCUGCUUUCUCUCUUAGCCUUGUCCUGACGGGCCGUCAGGGCCUCAGGACUGCUCAGCGAGCAGGACAGAAAUAACUCAGAGAGGAUCCCCCUCUUUCCAGAGGACGUGAAAAGGGCCUCCGAGGGCCUGAGAGUGCUGGGGGAAGCACCAGGCGAUCCGGUCCUUCCGUUUCUCUCCUGGCCUUGCUCUGAGGCCUCCUCCAAUCAUGCAGCUGCAGCCAUGGCUGUGGUGGAAGCUCCUAAAACGCCAAGAAGAACCAUCUCUCUGGUGGGGAACUGGGAAAAUAGGCCCCUGUGCCCCAAUGAAUUUGGGGGAAUGCUGCUUAUUUUUUUCCUCUUGCCAAUUUCCCCUAAAAACCACCCCAGUUAUGUAAAACUGCAAUACAGCACAGGAGGGAGGAUGAAGCUAAGAUUCUGAGAGAAAUUGGAACUUUCCAGCCAAAGGACAAGGAAAAGGUGCCCGUGUGAUCCAGAGAGUACUGGGGAAGUCCUGAGGGGAGAGAGUUCAAAGAGGAGAUCCCCUCAUUAUGUGGGGAGUUGACACAAAUCCCGGGCUCGCCUCCGGGCUGUGCACGCAUGGAACGCAUCCAGGGAGGAAGAGCAAGGCUUUGGAAACUGAACCGAUCCUGCAAUCACUUCCCACAGACGGUGAAACAGAACUUGUGGUCUGAACCGCAUAUUCUCCCUAAGAUUUAAACAAGGGUUUCUCAACCUAUGCACUGUUGAUAAUUUGGACUGAAUAUUUCUUUUCCGGGGGAAUGGGGGCUGUCCCAUGGACUAUAGGAUGUUUAGCAGCAUCCCUGGAAUCUGUCCACCAGAUACAGUAGCACUCCACAGUCGAGAAAAAUCGAAGUGAUCUCCAGACAUCACCACACGUCCUCUGUGGGGCAAAACCCUCUCUGGUUGAGAACCACUGACUCAAACAGAACUCAGCACUUCGCAAUAGAAUAUUCAGUGAAUCCAGGAUACAACCCAAAUCUGCUCAGCAUACCCAAACCAGGAAAAUCCGACCGGCUCACCAGGGUAAAGGCAACCAACCCACGCAAACCUUGAGCUGGCCCAGGUGUCUGAGGUCGGACAAAGGCUUCGAGCAGCGUUCAUAACCACGCUCUACGAGACAGAGGCGAGCACUCUCGAAACAAAGGGGAAAACAGACACCUCAGCAGAGAAGGAGAAACUGUAAAAAAAGAACCAAAUAAAAAUUUGAGAACUGAAAAAUAAAAUAUUAGAAGUAAAAUAAAAAGUCACAAGGAGGCUUCAAGAGUAGAAUGG